AAUAUCUGGUACUUUCCAAAGGGGUUUUACCCCAUGGGAGUUGGAAAGGUAUAGAAGAAAACUACAAACAGGAUAACAAUACCCAUAAGAAAAAGCAGAGUUUGCUUACUGAUUUUGUUAUAAUGUCACAAGUUAAUUUUUUAUUACCUGACUACAUUGGCAAUCGGAACUCUACCAUACUGAAUUGCUAAGAGUGGUGGCUAGGAGAUUUUUUGGUUACACCUAGGGUUGCCACCUCUUAUGGAAAAAAAUACUGGCCUUCCUAUAUAUUUAUCUUUUUUCCCUAAUAAUAACAUUGGGAUCAGCCAUCAUUUUUACCGGCCAGGUGGCAACCUUUGUUAUAUCACACUCCUGCACACCACAGUUUUGUAACAGAAAUGUUACCUUCCAAGCCACAGUGCAUUGCAUGUGUAUGAUACUAGCAGUGUUUUUCUUAAUUAGGCCAACAUAGAAAUUAAUAAGAGGAGCAAUGUCCUCUCCCCAAACAUCUGUGGUCCACAAACACUUAUAGACAUUGUCAUUGUACCAUGUAACUUUCCAUGAGUUUAUAGGCAAAACAGAAUGCAGAAAGACCGGUAACUGUAGAAUCCACAUGAUGAAACAAUGUUACUUUUAUGCCAACUUUUAAGGAUUAAUGCAACACCUUAAUGCAACACCUGGAUAAAAGAUCUUUUUUAAAAUGUAUUAUUCAAGCAUUAGGUAUUAUUUCCCUACAAAUUAUUACAAUCAUCACAACUAAAUAUAAAUAUAAGUGUCUGAUAAAACAAGAGGCAUAGGAAAGUCUGAUAAAGCUACUGCAUCAAAUCAGUUCAAACUGGUUGUAUUUAGGUCAGGUGCUGCUUUAGGAAUAUGAAUUCAGCUUGCCCCUUUAGCCCACAAUUAGCAUGGAUGGUCCUGCUGAACUGUGCAUGUGCACAUUGCAGACCCCAGAUUUAGCUGAAGUAUCUGGCAGGGAAGAUUGUUUUUGCACACAAUUUUAUAUUUACCAUAUAGGCAACCAAGGACCGCCCUAUGUGGCUAUAUUAUAAAUUUGGCCCUGACAACAAAAUAGCUAUAUUAUACAUCUUCCUCUAUACUUCAAACUAUAUAUGUAUAAACAACUUUUUUUGUUGCUAUAACUAUAAAAUAAAAUGCACUCCACCACCAUCUGCACAAAGCCUCAUACAGAACGAUGCACUGUAGGGGACAAAAAAUCAUGUGAAAAAUCUCCAUGCACCGAAGACUUGUAGAAACCAUUUAGUUGUGGUUAAAGAAAAUGGUGUGUUGUGUUGCUACACUGUCUGUGCUACUAGGGUUGCCACCUGCCCGGUAUUUUAUUUUAAAAAUGAUGGUUGAUCCCAAUGUUAUUAAUAGGAAAAAAAGAUAAAUAUAUAGGAAGGCCGGUAUUUUUUUCCAGAAAAGGUGGCAACCCUAGCUACUAAUCAUUCUGGUAAAUAAUGUAACUUGUAAGUACUGUGCAAUCUUUCUGCUGUAUGAGGAAAAUAAUUAUAAAUAAAAGUUUUGUGCUGAAUGGAACAAGCAGGACUAAUUCUCCUACCUUUCCUCUAGGCCGUGGGGAGGCAGCUCCUAGAGGAGAGUGUGCUGCUGUUCUUUAUCCCAUGCCAAUUUUUUUUCUCAUUUCUUGCAGGCUGUAUGUGGUUAAGCUAAAACCAGUAGUGAAUUAAGAUUUGUAACUUGUUUACACUGCUAGUCUGUCGCCAGAGGAGGGAUUCUGAGCUUAACUCACAUCUGAAUUUCCCCAGGUAGCAAGAAGUAUGAUUUUAAUAACUAUUAUCCAGAGGCCUGUGGAAAGACCACAUAGGCCAAGACUACUUUCUGCAAACAGUGCUCACAGGCAUAUGUCGUUCAGAUGUGAAAGAUAUGGGGCUGGAAAAGCAAUGCCUAUAUACCUACCUCUGCCCACCCCUCAUAAAUACAACAAUGCCAAAAGAAGGCAAAACAGUAUUCAUGGCGAAGCCACAGGUUUUGUAGCUACACUAGUGACCAUAAUUAAAUGGUCCAUAAGUGCUGCUUUUCAUACACCUUUAUCCCCUGUUGUCUGAUGUUCUUGGCUGUACCCUAUUCACUUUUUGUAUUGGUUGCUUUGUAUGUCAAUAUGUAUGUUCAAUGCACUUUAUAAAUACCUGUUGAUAAUAAUAAUCCCCUGUUGCCUGAUA